rnacentral:rRNA from 1 species
GAUGAACGCUGGCGGCGUGCCUAAUACAUGCAAGUCGAGCGAACAGACGAGGAGCUUGCUCCUCUGACGUUAGCGGCGGACGGGUGAGUAACACGUGGAUAACCUACCUAUAAGACUGGGAUAACUUCGGGAAACCGGAGCUAAUACCGGAUAACAUGUUGAACCGCAUGGUUCAACAGUGAAAGACGGUCUUGCUGUCACUUAUAGAUGGAUCCGCGCCGCAUUAGCUAGUUGGUAAGGUAACGGCUUACCAAGGCAACGAUGCGUAGCCGACCUGAGAGGGUGAUCGGCCACACUGGAACUGAGACACGGUCAAGACUCCUACGGGAGGCAGCAGUAGGGAAUCUUCCGCAAUGGGCGAAAGCCUGACGGAGCAACGCCGCGUGAGUGAAGAAGGUCUUCGGAUCGUAAAACUCUGUUAUUAGGGAAGAACAAAUGUGUAAGUAACUAUGCACGUCUUGACGGUACCUAAUCAGAAAGCCACGGCUAACUACGUG